AUCCGGCUGACGAGUCCCAAGUGGGACGAAACACAGGUCCUGGAU
rnacentral:hammerhead_ribozyme from 1 species